UCGGGAAUUUUGCGCAAUGGACGAAAGUCUGACGCAGCAACGCCGCGUGAGGGAUGAAGGCCUUCGGGUUGUAAACCUCUUUUGUCAGGGAAGAUGAUGACGGUACCUGACGAAUAAGCCACGGCUAACUACGUGCCAGCAGCCGCGGUAAUACGUAGGUGGCAAGCGUUGUCCGGAUUUACUGGGCGUAAAGAGCGCGCAGGCGGUCGUCCAAGUCGCGUGUGAAAGCCCCCGGCUCGACUGGGGAGGGUCACGCGAUACUGGUCGACUCGAAGGCAGGAGAGGGUAGUGGAAUUCCCGGUGUAGUGGUGAAAUGCGUAGAUAUCGGGAGGAACACCAGUGGCGAAGGCGACUACCUGGCCUGUUCUUGACGCUGAGGCGCGAAAGCUAGGGGAGCAAACGGG
rnacentral:rRNA from 1 species